rnacentral:rRNA from 1 species
UGUACACACAAUGCAGCAAACUAGCGAAUUGUUGUUGUCCCUCGAGGGGCCUCACCCGGAGGUGAGGCCGUCGAUAGUGCGGAUCGGCCGAGAGGCUGGCCUGUGGGUGAGAUGGGUUCCUCGCUGUCGGCUGGAGUGUCCCACACUUGCGGUUCUCGUCGUCGGAGGCUGGCACCCCCCUCGUUGUGGGAGGGGGAGCGAGUUACCGGUGGCUGGGGUCGGGCCCUCCCCUCCCCCUUUGUCCCCGUCUUUGGGGGCUCUGGGGCCAUUUUUUCACAAGCACCUUGAGGAACAUGAACAAAGAGACUGAGCAUGGGGUUCGGGUGUACGUUGCCCUUUGCGGGGAGCGUAGAGCCGAAGCCGAAAAGCAAAAAAGAACGACUCUCAGCAACGGAUAUCUUGGCUCUUGCAACGAUGAAGAACGCAGCGAAAUGCGAUACCUAGUGUGAAUUGCAGAAUUCCGCGAAUCAUCGAGUCUUUGAACGCAAGUUGCGCCCGAGGCUUGUCCCGAGGGCAUGCCUGCCUGAGCGUCAUCGCACUCCCACCUGGAAACAUCUCCAGUGUGGAAAUGACUGUCCAGGACCCGAUGUCAAAAGCUAGGGGUUGUGGUCGGUUGAAAUGUAGCGAUCUGGAUGCAGCCGGGGAGAGAGGCCGCGAGAAGGUGAUCUGCUCUUUGCUGAGCGGAGUCUAAUUGGACAGCGCCUCUCCCUCUCGGUGGUCUGGUCGGCGGCUACGAGGGGGAGUCUAGAUAUUCCCUCCCUGCGUCAGUGGGGGGAGUGCGAGUAAAUUUGCACUUCCCUUCCUUGCAAAGCUUGGACCUCAGAUCAGGCAAGAUUACCCGC